rnacentral:rRNA from 1 species
UACGGAGGGGGCUAGCGUUGUUCGGAAUUACUGGGCGUAAAGGGCGCGUAGGCGGUUCGUUAAGUCCUGUGUGAAAUCCCCCGGCUCAACUGGGGAACUGCACAGGAAACUAGCGGGCUUGAGUUCGGGAGAGGGAAGUGGAAUUCCCGGUGUAGUGGUGAAAUGCGUAGAUAUCGGGAGGAACACCAGUGGCGAAGGCGACUUCCUGGCCUGUUCUUGACGCUGAGGCGCGAAAGCUAGGGGAGCAAACGGG